AAUAGCUGACGGGACAGUAUGUUUUACGCACAUUUACCAUUUUUUUUCAAUGAGCGACAAAGCGUUUGUUUCUUGUUGCACGUGACCCGAAAAUGGGUGGAGCAGAGAGGAUAUUACGACGGCAUCUGACCCGGAGCGUGAACGGAAGCCAUGGAGGUGCAAGAAGAGGUGCCAGACGCCGAUGCAGACGACGAUCACGAAUUGCUGUAAACGUGCAGAUUUCACAAACUGCAAACUCUAGCUGUCGUUGAAGAUAUAGUCGAGUUACAGCGACUUCCGAUGGCUGUUCACCAUCGCCAGCCAUGCGACACGUCGUGGGUGCUCAGCGCGAGUAGAUUUUUUGCGAGCGAUCGAAGUUUCUCUAAUGCGUCAAAGGAGUACUCCGAGUGUCCGUCCGAGUGUCCGUCCGAGUGUCCGUCCGAGUGUCCGUCCGUGCGUUCGUCCGUGCGCCACCACCCCUACCCCCAGGGGAAUCGUUUAGGAAUUGUUAAAUUCGAAUCGUUCUUUGCUAGUUUUGAAGAAAGUAAACAUACAAUAGUUUACGUCAUGUGACGUCAUCACUCGAGAUGUUUCGAUGGUAACUAUGCUCACUUAUGUGACUGCGUUCCACCACCCCUACACCCAGGGGACAGCUGUUACAAAUGGAUCAUUUUGAAUAAUUGUUUGUUUUCCUCGAUGGACGCCAAAAAUUAACACUACGUUAUGUGACGUCACUCUGUAA